GUGGGGAAUCUUCCGCAAUGGACGAAAGUCUGACGGAGCAACGCCGCGUGAGUGAAGAAGGUUUUCGGAUCGUAAAGCUCUUUCGUUAGGGACGAACGUGCUCUUUGUGAAUAAUGAGGAGUAAUGACGGUACCUAAAUAAGAAGCCACGGCUAACUACGUGCCAGCAGCCGCGGUAAUACGUAGGUGGCAAGCGUUGUCCGGAAUUAUUGGGCGUAAAGCGCGCGCAGGCGGGAUAUCAAGUCUGUCUUAAAAGUGCGAGGCUCAACCUCGUGAGGGGACAGAAACUGGUAUUCUUGAGUGUCGGAGAGGAAAGUGGAAUUCCAAGUGUAGCGGUGAAAUGCGUAGAGAUUUGGAAGAACACCAGUGGCGAAGGCGACUUUCUGGACGAUGUCUGACGCUGAGGCGCGAAAGCUAGGGGAGCGAACGGGAUUAGAAACCCUUGUAGACC
rnacentral:rRNA from 1 species